CCGUGCUAGACGGGGAGCUAGCGGUGCCCUGUACCCGUAAUCCGCUAUAGCGGGGUUGAAUGCCGCUCGAGCUUUUAUCUCUAGAGGUUUACUCCUGUCCUGUGGUGUUGAAGGUUGGGUCCUGCGCGGCAGAACCCUAUGAACUCCGCCAGGUCCGGAAGGAAGCAACGGUAAAUAGGUAGUUCUGGGUGCCGCAGGAGCGCCUGGCUGGAGCCGUCGGGGCUUGAGGACCCUCUAGGGCAGGAGCGACAGCGGAUGCACGG
rnacentral:SRP_RNA from 1 species